AGAACGAACGCUGGCGGCAGGCCUAACACAUGCAAGUCGAACGCGACCUUCGGGUCGAGUGGCGCACGGGUGAGUAACGCGUGGGAAUCUGCCCUGUGGUACGGAAUAACAUCGGGAAACUGGUGCUAAUACCGUAUAUCCCCUGAGGGGGAAAGAUUUAUCGCCAUAGGAGGAGCCCGCGUAGGAUUAGCUAGUUGGUGAGGUAACGGCUCACCAAGGCGACGAUCCUUAGCUGGUCUGAGAGGAUGAUCAGCCACACUGGGACUGAGACACGGCCCAGACUCCUACGGGAGGCAGCAGUGGGGAAUAUUGGACAAUGGGGGAAACCCUGAUCCAGCCAUGCCGCGUGUGUGAUGAAGGCCUUCGGGUUGUAAAGCACUUUCGCACGUGACGAUGAUGACGGUAACGUGAGAAGAAGCCCCGGCUAACUUCGUGCCAGCAGCCGC
rnacentral:rRNA from 1 species